GGGCGUUAAGUUGCAGGGUAUAGACCCGAAACCCGGUGAUCUAGCCAUGGGCAGGUUGAAGGUUGGGUAACACUAACUGGAGGACCGAACCGACUAAUGUUGAAAAAUUAGCGGAUGACCUGUGGCUGGGGGUGAAAGGCCAAUCAAACCGGGAGAUAGCUGGUUCUCCCCGAAAGCUAUUUAGGUAGCGCCUCGUGAAUUCAUCUCCGGGGGUAGAGCACUGUUUCGGCUAGGGGGCCAUCCCGGCUUACCAACCCGAUGCAAACUGCGAAUACCGGAGAAUGUUAUCACGGGAGACACACGGCGGGUGCUAACGUCCGUCGUGAAGAGGGAAACAACCCAGACCGCCAGCUAAGGUCCCAAAGUCAUGGUUAAGUGGGAAACGAUGUGGGAAGGCCCAGACAGCCAGGAUGUUGGCUUAGAAGCAGCCAUCAUUUAAAGAAAGCGUAAUAGCUCACUGGUCGAGUCGGCCUGCGCGGAAGAUGUAACGGGGCUAAACCAUG
rnacentral:rRNA from 4 species